rnacentral:rRNA from 1 species
AUACUGAGGGUGCAAGCGUUAAUCGGAAUUACUGGGCGUAAAGCGCACGUAGGCGGUUUAUUAAGUCAGAUGUGAAAGCCCUGGGCUUAACCUGGGAACUGCAUUUGAGACUGGUAGGCUAGAGUAUGGUAGAGGAUAGUGGAAUUCCGGGUGUAGCGGUGAAAUGCGUAGAUAUCCGGAGGAACAUCAGUGGCGAAGGCGGCUAUCUGGACCAAUACUGACGCUGAGGUGCGAAAGCGUGGGGAGCAAACAGGAUUAGAUACCCCAGUAGUCC